ensembl:misc_RNA Y_RNA Y RNA
GGCUGGUCUAAGAGCCCUGGUCUUUACACCGAAUUGAUCACAACCAGUUAGAGAUUUCUUUGUUUUUCUUCCUCCACUCCCACUACUUCACUUGACUAGCCUUAA